CAGGAACAAAAUUCUCUGUAAACAGAGAAUCUACAAUGGUGACUUUGAGGGUGGAAUCACACAGGGAUCAUUGGAUAUGCCCAAUAAACGAUCGGAUUACACCUUUUUGACUCGUAUUUCCGACAACAACAACCUCCGAUAUAAGUUUUCCGGUGGAGCUAGUAGCGGUGGAUGCGAGUCAUCUCAAAAGUCUCACUCCGGAGAAAAGGAGGAGGAAAGAGGAGAAUCUGAUUGGGAGUUGACGAACUUGAUCACUGAUCAGAGGAUGCAGCAGAAUCGGCAGUCGAGUUUUCCCGCGUCGAUUGGUGGUUUGCAGAGACAAUCGAGUGGGAGUAGUUAUACUGAAAGUUCUUUAUCAGAUGAUUACUUCAUUCCGUCGUCCUUCGCUGCGACAAGUAGUGGUGGCGGCGGCGAUGAUGAUGCAUACGUUCACUUAUCUGAUGGCGGUGACGGCCAGCCGUUGUUGAGGUUGGAGUUGACGGAGGCAGGUGAUGGUGACGGAUGGUAUUCUUCGUUGAAAAGUUGGGCACAACAAGCGGAGGAGGGUUAUAAAUUGCAGUUGGCUUUGGCGCUACGGCUUACGUCAGAAGCUACGUGUACGGAUGAUCCUAAUUUACUGGAUCCCGUUCUGGAUGAAACUGCGACCUCGCGAUCAUCUAUGGCUUCUGCUUCUUCUGCAGAAGAUUUGUCACGUCGAUUCUGGGCAAAUGGUUGUUUAUCUUACUUUGACAAGGUCCCAGAUGGGUUUUACGUUAUCCAUGGAAUGGAUCCAUAUGUAUGGGCGGUAUGCAGUAAUCGGCAACAGAGUGGACAAAUUCCAUCACUUGAGUCACUAAAAGCUGUUAAUGCUCGAACUGAAUCUGCAAUCGAAGUCGUUUUGAUUGACAGACUUGGUGAUUCCAGCCUCAGGGAACUGCAGAACCGUAUUCGUAGCAUUUUCUGUAACAGCGGCACCACAACAGACGUUGUUGACCAACUUGCAAAACUCAUUUGCAAUAAAAUGGGAGGUGCCGCUUCAGCUGGAGAAGAGGACUUGGUUCUAUUGUGGAAGGAGUGCAGUAAUGACUUGAAGGAACGUCUAGGAUCUGUUGUACUUCCAAUGGGUAGUCUCUCUGCUGGCCUCUGCAGACAUCGGGCUCUACUGUUUAAAGUCUUAGCUGACACCAUUGAUUUACCAUGUCGAAUAGCCAAGGGUUGCAAAUAUUGCAGAAGAGAUGAUGCCUCAUCUUGCCUUGUUCGUUUUGGCGACAGGGAGGUCCUUGUUGAUUUGGUUGGAAACCCCGGUUGCCUCUGUGAACCUGACUCUCUAAUAAAUGGUCCAUCUUCCAUCUCAAUAUUUUCCCCAUUGCACUUUCCGCGAUUUAGACAUAUUAACUCCGUGGUUGAUUUUGAGUCCCUCGCCAGACGGUACUUCGUAGACUGUGAAUCAUUAAAUCUGGUGUUUGAAGAUCCACCUACUAGUGAUGGAGCUUUUGGGGGUGCUCUCUUUCCUCGGCAAUCUGAUAGAAAUUACGUUGAUCUUGAUAUGGUUAGUCCAAUCAACAACGAAGGUAACCUCGACGUGGAGGUUUUUGACAUUCCAUGGACCAAUAUGGCUUUAAAAGAGAAAAUUGGAGAAGGUUCUUUUGGUACUGUUCGUCGUGCUGUUUGGGAUGGUUUUGACGUCGCUGUGAAGACUCUUUUCAUGGAACAAGAUUUUCAUCCUGAGAGAUUCAACGAGUUCUGGCAGGAGGUUGCAAUAAUGAGGCGCCUGCAUCAUCCAAAUAUCGUUCUUUUUAUGGGUGUUGUUACUCAACCCCCGAAUCUGUCAAUAGUCACUGAAUAUUUAUCAAGAGGUAGUUUGUUUAGGCUUUUGCACAAACCUGGUCCAAAAGAGGUGUUGAAUGUGCGUGGUCGUCUACGGAUGGCUUUUGAUGUGGCGAAAGGAAUGAAUUAUCUUCACAAACGCAAUCCUCCCAUUGUUCAUCGGGAUUUGAAAUCUCCCAAUCUUUUAGUUGAUGAAAAUUAUACUGUCAAGGUAUGUGAUUUUGGCUUAUCACGGUUAAAAGCAAAUACAUUUCUUUCGUCCAAGUCUCUCGCAGGGACUCCCCAGUGGAUGGCACCAGAAGUCCUAAAUGAUGAACCAUCAAAUGAGAAAUCAGAUGUGUAUAGCUUUGGGGUUAUUUUGUGGGAGCUGGUUACUUUGCAGGAGCCUUGGAGUUAUCUAAAUGCUCCUCAGGUUGUGGCAGCAGUAGGCUAUAGGCACAAAAGGCUCGAGAUUCCUCGUGAUAUAAAUCGUCAACUAGCAGCCUUGAUGGAAGCCUGCUGGGAACAUGAGUCAUGGAAGCGCCCGUCCUUUGCCAGUAUCAUGGAAUCUUUGAAACCAUUGGUAAAACCUCUUACUCGUCAACCAAGUUAUGUGGAUGCUUCAGUACUACCCUGAUGGUAUUAUGUCUAAUAUGCAGAUAUGUGGAGAUUCAUCGAUGGAUUAAUCUUUGAUAAAGGUUUGGUAAAUUGAAGGAUCAUUUUGGCUGUUUUGAAGUUGUUGAAGGACUGUGCCUUGCUUAAAAGGUAUUCGGAAGGGUAGCGGAGCAACAGGACUUUUUUUAGGAGGGCUGAACUGAAACUUCGUCUAAUAUAAAAGCUUUAAGCUCUCUUUUCUUUGAUGUUGAAAUCUAUUGUAUCAUAUGACACUCAGUUAUUUCAUAUGCGGUUCCGUUCCGUUUCAAUGAGAAUGAAAGUUACGGUAAGAAUAGUGAGAAGAGAUCU